rnacentral:rRNA from 1 species
AACGAACGCUGGCGGCAUGCCUAACACAUGCAAGUCGAACGAGAACUUCGGGUCUUUGGGCGCUCGUGGACGUAACGCCGGGGAACCUACCCGUGGGUUCGGAAUAACUCCCCUAAGGGGGUGCUAAUACCGGAUAAUGUCUUCGGACCAAAGAUUUAUCGCCUCUGGAUGGGCGCGCGUUGGUUUAGCUGGUUGGUAGGGUAAAAGCCUACCAAGGCGACGAUCCAGAGCUGGUCGGAGAGGAUGAUCAUCCACACUGGGACUGAGACACGGACCAGAAUGGUACGGGAGGCAGCAGUGGGGAAUAUUGGACACUGGGCGAAAGUCUGAUACAGCAAUGCCGCGGGAGUGAGGAAGGCCUUAGGGUUGUAAAGCCCUUUUACACGGGAUGAUAAUGACAGUACCGGGAGAAUAAGCACCGACUAACUCCGUG